UAUCUCUCCGUACCGGGAAGGAUGAGAAGCUUCGACUAAGGUUCGAUUCGAGCGCAGCGAGAAAGCGCUGCUGCAGGCAACGACCCGAAGGGUGAGGAGCGGAGCGACGAAUAAUCCUUCCCCCACCACCA
rnacentral:sRNA from 2 species